CAUUGCUCACCCACUCGUAUCAAUUCAAGUAUCACCAUCUUCUCGAUUUGUCUCCUUCUAACCCCUCUCAUUUCUCUCUCUCUCUCUCUCUCUCUCACAAUCUCACGCAGUUCAUCUUCUUACGCUAUCGACCUCAACUCAGCAAAUCAACAAGUCAUUAUUCCAUUUGAUCCAUAUUCAUUUUGGAAGUGCUCGUUUCCUCUCUUUUCUUAGCUUUGUUCUGCUGUUAGAUUUCCUUAUAAAGGAAGGUCUCCUGGAAUUUACGUUAAUUCACAUGGAUCUUGGCAAAAUGAAUGAAGCGAAACCUCAAGUGCAAGCGUUUUCCUGACGUGGAAAGAGAAUAUCACAAGUUCUGAGAUUUUUCCUGUUGGCGGGAGCAGACUUCGUUCAAUGCAGAAGGAAGAAGGUUAGUAAUCUGUUUACUGGCAGAAUUGGAUGUUGUCAACAAAUAUAGAUGUUAUUUUUGGUAGCUCCACAGUUCUCUCUCUUUCUACAUUUCUUUUAAGAAAUACAACCAAGAUGACUCAUUACUAAAAAUGAAAACACCUUUCAUCUCUACUUUAUUCCCUCUCUCUUACUUUACUCUCUCCACUUAACACACAAAAUAAAUCUGCAUAAAAACUCGUGCCGUCCAAGGAAGGGGUCAGUCAUCUCCCUUGGGACGGAGGGAGUACUAAUUAAUUUAAAAAAUUUCCUUCCUAUGAUAUAUGUUCCGUUGCAUGGGGGUUACUGGUUAGUGUGUGGUUCACGUCAAGAAAAUUGUCUUUUGAUGUGAUUUAGAGCCCCUUAUAGGACACUCGCCUGCAAUUUUGUAUUUUAUCUAAAUUUGGAAGAUAGUGAUGAAACUAAGAUGGGGUGUUUAUAGGCAAAGAAAUGAGGAAGAGAAUAAGUGCAUCACUAGGCUAGGGUUGGAUCAUGGUUGGUUGGAGCAAUUUCGAAAUUGAUAGUAGGGCUGGUGUCUGGGUGACACUGGCUAAGUGUAAGGAUUUGACAUUUUAGAAAGUAAUCGUCAACUAUCAAUAUGUAUUCAGUGGCAGGCUGGCUUGUAUCUAUUUCUAUAUGUUUUUUAUUGUUUCCUUCCGGAAAAUUCUCUUCGUUCUAUUUUAUCUAAACUAGAAGAGUAGUUUUAACCUGUAGAUUUGUUGAGUCUUAUUAAUUGACCUUCCAUAAAUUGAGCUAUAAUUGUUUCUUCUUUGACUGUUAGUUUUACAUGUCAGUUUCCGCUGCAGGAUCAGUUGAUUUAUAUUAUAACUAUAAUGCACCUGAAAGAACAAUGAUACAAUCAUGGAUAAGUAUCUUAGCACCUCGUUAACUGAUAGUUUUAUGAUACUCUUCACUUUUGGUGUAUGAUCAUUUUCCUUAAAAUGGUAUCAUCCAGCAGUGGUGCGCUAUAAGAGAAAAUAGUGUGACACGUGUCAGUUUUGACGCAUUUUCCACAAAUUCGAGCAGCUGGUGUUUGGGUGACACUGGUUAAAAAUUGAGCUAUAUUAUUUCUUUUUUUGGCCUCUAGUUUUACGAUACGUGUCAGUUCCGCCGCAGGAUCUCAGUUGAUCAAUAUAUGGAGUACUUUAAAGGACUAUAAAGGGAGGUGUUAACCGGUAGCUUAUGAUGUAGGAACAUUUUCCUUAAAAAGUAAUCAUCCUGCAUUGGUGCAGCUAUAAAAGGAAAUCACCCUGUCGCAUUUGUAUUCCAUAACUACAUGACGUAAGAGUUGACAUUUUUUGAAGUAGGGGCUUAUAUAUGCAUGUUCAUGGAAGCCAGGAAGUGCUAAAUCUAAUUUUGUAUAUUCGAUUUGGCUUAGCUUUUUCUCCCGGAAAAUUCGCCCCUUUAUUUACGUAAGCUAAAAGAGUAGUUUUAACCUGUAGCUUUUAAUAAGCCUUGUUAAGUAACCGCCCAUAAAAGCAACAUUAUUUCUUUAUUAACCACUAGUGUUAUAAUAGUUGUCAGUUUUCCCACAGGAUCAGUUGAUCAACAUUAUUACUUUAAUUCACCUCAAAGAGAAGUGUUGAAUGACGGUAGUUUAGCAUGCAUGGAUCUCAUACUAUUAGUACCUCUUCAACUGCUAGUUGUAUGACAUGUUUCAGUUCUGACGUAUGAUCAUUUUCCUUGAGUUUAAGCAUCCUGCAUUGGUGCAGGUAUAAGAAGAAAGCAAAGAAUGUCAUGAGUAAUAAUAUUAUUUGCGCCGCAUUAGACUGCUAGUUCAUGACACGUGUCACUUUUUCCGCAUUUUUCACGAAAUGCUAGGCAGCUGGAUUGGUUGAUGGCUAUAGCUGGUUAAAACAUCAAUGCUAUUAUUAUUGCUAGGCUGACACAUGUGAUUUCAAUUGUUUUAGGUUUGCGUUGUUUAGUUUUCUUGUGGCUUUUAUAGCAGUAUCACAUUUACUCUCUUACAUAUAUAGUACAUUGUGCAUAAGGAAUUACAUGAGGAUAUCUUACGGUUUAAGUUGAAGAUACAUGUAUUGAAUUUUUAUAUGGCAGCUCUUAGCAGCCUUAUCAUUCUUGAAAUAUAUUUAUCCAAGUAGUUGACUUCCGAAUGAGGUGGUACAUACGUAUGAUUUAUUAUUUGGAGCUUCAGUCUUAUUGAAUACUUGGAUAAUUUUGUUAUAUCAUGGAGUUUCAGCUUUGUAUGUAUUCCUCAAAUUACGGAGUUCUUGAGGCUAUUUUCUUUCUUAGUUCAUUGAUACUGACCUUGAUUUACAUGAGGGCUUGUUGGGAUUGAUUCCAGUUGCACUAGGCAUUUUUAAAAUAUUUUUUUAUGGAAACAAAAGGAAGAUCUUUUCUGAUGCCCUAAUAUGGAUCGUGAUACUCAAUUGUACACCAAUAUCACAAUAUUUUCUUUUAAUGGUCAAUCAUUUAUCAACAUUCUACAUUUGCCUGGUUCUAAAAGGAUUUUGGCCUUGACAAUCAAUCAUGAGGAGAUACUAAUGACUCUAAAAGUUUGACAGCAGUAGCAAUAUGUGGUGGCGAGAGAGAUUACAGGUACACUAUAGUUCCAGUAUAUAUUUUUCUUCAUUUGUUGGUUCUUAGCAUCAUAGUGAAGCCAAUUUUCUAAUUUACAUGCAAUUCAGUUUGGUGAUGUUGUGCUUCACUCAAAAUAUUGAUAAUUUGAUUUAUAGGAGUAAAAAAAAUUGGUGGGUGGGGGGCUUAAGCCCCCAUUGCUCUCUUAGCUGCUCCGCUACUGUUUUGAUGGAUGUAACAAUUUUGAGCUCGUUUAAACAUUCCAUUCUUCAAAUACUCAAUCUUAGUAGUAUUCAUAACUUAGACAUACCAAUGUCUAUGAAGCUCAAAGUCUAUAAUUUGCAAAAUGGCCAUUGUUUCAGUUUGUGAUGCAUCAAUGCUGUCUAUCUAUAUCUUCCAUCUCUCUUCUGUCUUUAUAUUUAGAAUGUUUAGACUACUUUUGCUAUUUAUCUCUUUUUUGCAGGAUACUUAUAAGCAAAAGCCCGGCUUUCAGGGUCGGUUUUCCUUGCUUUGGGUGAUGCAUUGUAUUAGGAUGUGAGCUCUACGCGGUAAUGCUUAUGCACAGUGCUGUUUUUUGUAUGAACUAUUUUUGGGGUUUGGUAGGCUCAACAAGUUAUGUUGAGAAUUUCUUGUAAUAUUGUCAAUGAAAUAUUUGUUCUAGAUAUUCUCUUUUUUUUUUUAUCUCUAUGGACUGUAAAGAACCGAAUGGAUCAACUGAUAAUAAAGCUUAUGAUUUUAUGUCA